UUGCAGUCCCCUCUAAUGUAAAGCAAUGUACUCACCAAGUUGCCUUUGCCUCGCUUGUGGACAAGAUCAAUACUUUCUAUUAUCCUAGCGUCUAAAUUAAUUUGUAUAUAUAUUUUGAUGCUCGAGAAACGUAGAAAUACAAAA